GACGAACGCUGGCGGCGUGCUUAAUACAUGCAAGUCGAGCGGUGAACCCGACUGAAAGCCUUCGGGCUUGACGUUGGGGGAUCAGCGGCGGAUGGGUGAGUAACGCGUGGGUACCUGCCCUAAAGUCUGGGAUAACAACUCGAAAGGGUUGCUAAUACCGGAUGUGACCGAGAGGUUAAAGGCAGAGAUGUCGCUUUAGGAUGGGCCCGCGUCCCAUUAGCUAGUUGGUGAGGUAAGGGCUCACCAAGGCUGCGAUGGGUAGCCGGCCUGAGAGGGUGGACGGCCACACUGGGACUGAGACACGGCCCAGACUCCUACGGGAGGCAGCAGUAGGGAAUAUUAGUAAUGGGCGAAAGCCUGAACUAGCAACGCCGCGUGUGCGAAGAAGGCCUUCGGGUCGUAAAGCACUUUUUGAGAGGAUGAGGAAGGACGGUACUCUCAGAAUAAGUCUCGGCUAACUACGUG
rnacentral:rRNA from 1 species